UGGGCGCAGCCUGAUGCAGCGACGCCGCGUGAGGGAUGACGGCCUUCGGGUUGUAAACCUCUUUCAGCAGGGAAGAAGCGCAAGUGACGGUACCUGCAGAAGAAGCACCGGCUAACUACGUGCCAGCAGCCGCGGUAAUACGUAGGGUGCGAGCGUUGUCCGGAAUUAUUGGGCGUAAAGAGCUUGUAGGUGGUUUGUCGCGUCUGCUGUGAAAAUCCGAGGCUCAACCUCGGACUUGCAGUGGGUACGGGCAGACUAGAGUGUGGUAGGGGAGACUGGAAUUCCUGGUGUAGCGGUGGAAUGCGCAGAUAUCAGGAGGAACACCGAUGGCGAAGGCAGGUCUCUGGGCCAUUACUGACACUGAGAAGCGAAAGCAUGGGGAGCGAAA
rnacentral:rRNA from 2 species